rnacentral:lncRNA from 1 species
UGUGAUCAGAGCCCAGCAGGCUAAAUUUUCUGAUUCCAAAGGAUCAGGUGCCAGUGAAGGAAGAAGAGCUGCUAUGCUCUACUUGGCAGCUGGCCUUUUCACCACAGCUGUUGCUUCUUCUGCAAAUGCUGGGGUCAUUGACGAGUACCUUGAAAAGAGCAAAGCUAACAAGGUGUGUUUCGCUAUGAAAUCUGAAAAAAUAUCAACCAUCAUGCCGCAAAGAAAUUUUUGUAUUUGCAGAACAACGUAAAAGAUUAACCUGCUUUUGCUGCAGGAAUUGAAUGACAAGAAGAGGUUGGCAACAAGUGGAGCAAACUUUUCCAGAGCAUACACUGUUCAAUUUGGCACUUGCAAGUUCCCUGAGAACUUCACUGGCUGCCAGGAUCUUGCAAAGCAAAAGGUUCAAAACCUAACAUCUGCCUUUUUUUUUGUCUUAGUUUCAAAGGUUCUGAAGACGAUUUCAUAAUGAUAUUCUUUUUCGGUUUGUUGAAUGCAGAAAGUACCAUUCAUCUCUGAUGAUUUGGCCUUGGAAUGUGAAGGGAAGGACAAAUACAAGUGUGGUUCCAACGUUUUCUGGAAAUGGUGAUGCGAUCCAAAUGUAUUUUUUCACUUAAACUAUCCACUCUACCUCAACAUGUAUCUAAUUUUCCCA